rnacentral:lncRNA from 1 species
GGAUCCGGCAUUGCUAUGAGCUGUGGUGUAGCUCACAGAUGUGGCUCAGAUCCCUUGUUGCUGUCGCUGUGGCGUAGGCCAGAAGCUGUAGCUAUGAUGGGCCCCUGGCCUGGGAACCUACAUAUGCUGCAGAUGCAGCCCUAAAAAGACAAAAAAAAAAAAAAAAUAAUAAUAAUAAUAAAUAAGAAUAAAAAAAAUAAUCCUUUCCCAUCAAUUACAUGUGCAGAAUUCCUUUAGCAUAGAAUAACUAAUGCACAUCUACUCUCAGAAAACAGGGCUGGACCAGUCUGCAUUUAAAAUGGGCACACAAGGUACAAAUGACCUAAUGAAAUUUAGGAGCCUGAAUUCGCUGUUGCAUAAUGAGAAAGAACAGGAGGAAGGAUAAAGUACUAUAUUCAGGACUAACCCAAACACAAGUGACCAAGCAGUACAGAAACACUAAACAGUGACAUAAUGUCAGCAAUAUAGCCCUUAACACUGCUGCUAUGACCAGCUUUACCUCCCCUCUAUUGCUCAUAUGUCCCUUUCUUCUCAUGGUCACUGAUGUGAGUGAACAAUGACUCUGACAGUGACCCUCAAUCCCUUGUCAUGAGUCCUCCCUAACAGGCUUGGGAAUCUGUUUCUUGUGACAUUAAAAAUGAGACAACACCUCAAACACAAAUGAAAAGGACAAGGGGAGGGGUCAGGCCCACUGGACCGAGACCCGGGUACAUGAUGGCCAACCCUACAAAUGACACAAUCUUACUAAAGACUGGUCCUGACCUCGUGCAUUCAUGGAAAUACUGGCCUUUCAUCUCGAGGGACAGAGAAGCACCUUGGCCCACCUGCAACUCAAAUGCAUGAUGUUCUGUGCACCAACCGCUUAAGUACCAAUUACAUAUCAAAGAGCGGAUUUUGGAAAAAAAAGUUCCCUGGGAAGCUUCCCUUCCUCAAAGCUUUUCAAGGGUCCCAGUGUCCAGGCAUUGCAAUUAUUUAAUGAUUUAAUAAAGCAUGCAGUUCUUCUCCACUGGGGUCCUAUCUGGAAUAGAUGCUGUUAUCUUUGGGAUUUUUUGUCUUUAUACAUCAGUAAAUUGCCAAACACCCAAGUUUUUCCCGGGUUGCCUGGACAAGACACAAAUGUCAUCUUCAUUCUAUUUCUUCAUCAAUCAAUCCUGUCCACAUCUGCAGUCCGGUGAGGCAGAACCACUAUGGCAGAGCUGAAAGCAAGAGAGGCUGCCCCAUUUAGGAGAUGAGCAUCCAGGCAACGUCUGUGGAUAAUCAGCACCAAAGGCAGAACUUGGGCUCACAUCCAUGUGCAGAAAGAGCCAUCAGCAAAGUCAAGAAUCAGCUCCUGUCUGUGCUUCUACCAAGAAGGAGAAACUUCUAGUAUUUUCAUUUUAUACUAAGUGAAGUAAGUCAGAAAGAGAAAAGAUAAAUACCAUAUGGUAUCACUUAUAUCUGGAAUCUAAUAUAUGGCAGAAAUGAACUUACCUAUAGAAAAGAAACAAACUCAUGGACUUGGAGAAUAGACUUGUGGUUGUCAAGGGGGAGGGGGAGGGAGUGAGAUGGACUGGGAGUUUGGGGUUAGUAGAUACAAACUAUGGUGUUUGGAGUGGAUAAGUAAUGAGAUCCUGCUCUAUAGCACAGAGAACUAUAUCUAAUCACUCAUGAUGGAACAUGAUGGAGGAUAAUGUGAGAAAAAGAAUAUAUAUAUAUAUAUGUAUAUAUAAAACUGGGUCACUUUGCUGUACAGAAAUUGACAGAACAUUGUAAAUCAACUAUAAUUUAAAAAUUUAAAAAAUAAAACAAAGAUGAUAGUAUCCCUCUGAUAGUCCUGAAUGGAAAAAAAAAAUAAGUCAGAAGAUAUAUUAAAAAUGCAUCAUUCAGCAUCUGACCUGAUAAGAUGCAAAAAGCAGUAGUACUUACUAUUUUGAUAAAUAGUGCCUAAAAUGUCCCUUCUUAAAAACACAAGCCUAUGAUAACUCAUCCAAAGUUGUGAAAUUAAACCAACUUAUACUGACUAGGGAAUAAUGAAUAAUACAGGGAUCAUGAAAAGGAGCAUGGGGUGGAUGACCCCUGUCUUCAAAUGUCCCAUGUAAUCCUCAAAAGGGAGUGACCUCUGACAAGAUCUGUGCCCAGGUACCCCUGUGAAAGGUUGUUAUAUGACAUCUCCUGAAGCUGUUCUUAACCCAAGUUUAGCCUUCACGAAAACACACACACACACACACACACACACACACACACACACACACACACACACUUCUAUUAGCAGAAAGUUUUUGGGGUAGAUAUUUAAAAUGAAAUAAAGGUGAAGUGGAAUGGUGCUUAGGGCAGAGCAAGGGGACAGAUGUACUUCAACCUGGAGAUGAUUCGGGAAGUGAGACAUCUAGAGGAGGGGAAUGAGGUAGGAUGUAGAAAGAAGGAGCCAUGCUUAUAUCAAAUAUUUCAGUCCCUCAUCUGAGUGUUGGGUCACUUUGGUCACCAGUGUCAUGAAGCGUCUUGGGGGAAUUCAGUCACUCAGGACCACUUGUCAAGCCUUUCCUAGCUAUUCAGCCUCCAAAUUCAAGUCCAAGGGAGAAAGCAGGGUGGAGAGAGAUACAGCUGGGCAGGGGACACACUGCUUCAUUCCAGGAGGACCAGUCUAAUCAGAGCCUAUGUAACAGUAUCCCCCAGGGAGUGGGUCUGGCAGGCUAUACAAAAUUAUAAGCAGAGGGCCGUAAAUUGUCAGUGACACUGCAAGGCACCUAUGCACUGCACCAAUGCACUGCCGGACACUAACAAAUACAUCUGAACAAUUAGCACCCCAAGCUUCAGGGCUGCUGUGUGACUUUGAACCUCCAGGAAAUAAUCUCAGGAUCCACCCAUCAUAGGGUAUGGCCUCCUCAAGGGAGUUCUAUUCUAACCAUGUCCUUAUCUCUUUGUCACUAAGUCACAGAUUUUUACUCUUCUAAUUGGACCUAGGGUAAAAUCACAGACCCAUCAAGAAAGAACAACUAUAAUUACCCCAAGGAGCUGUUUGGCUUAAACCCUGCAAUCUAGGCAUUUUCCACGAAAUACACAGUCCCAUUAGCUGAAGCCACUGAAAGCCAUCAUAAAGGUGGAAUAUCUCAACACUUACCUGAUAAAAAAUUAUUCAACUUUUCGAAGGACUUAUAUUGGGAAUGAUCAAUUAAAAAGCAUGAUAGAAAAAAUUAAUUAUACAGGAAAAGGUUAAUGACACAUUUCCUGAAUUGAGAUCAAGGAUGAGUCUUAGAAUCUAAUUAGCGUUGUUUGUUUCUGUUAUAGCUAUUAUUUAAAAACAACAGGAAUCCGCCAUCAGAUAAACAUUAAGAGUAUAUUCAAAGGAAAUUGAAAUUGAUUUUGUCCAAACUUGCACUAGGAUCAACAAAUUUCAUUUAUGUAGGAUCCCAUUGCUUUGACUCAUGGCUGGAUGGGAUACAAAGUAACUAUUUUAAUAAAAUCUAAUUCUGCAGGGGAAAAAAAUCAUCAUCCUAGAUUUAUGCCUCAGUUAGUGGGAGAAUAAGUCUGACAGAACCAUUACAUGUUAUUCUAUAUACAUAGCUGUUUUCAUUGAAGUUACUUCAAGAUGUUUUCCUUCCACAGCAAUGGAGAAUUUUUUUUCAAAAAAAUUAAAAAUAGGGAAUUGCUGCUAUAAAACAUAUACAUCGCAAAGGACUCAUAUUCUGCAUUUUUCUUAAACCACUUACCAUAAAACCUUCAUUUUUUAUGGCCAAGUCGGUACUGAUUUCAUGAUUUGCAGGCAGAAACAACUGAUUUCAUAGCAUCAGUCAGUCAUAAAUCUUAAGAACCUAAAUUCUGAAUCCCAAAGCCAGGGCCCAAAGACACAAAUGAGAUUUCUCCCCACAAAUCGUGACUCGUGUUUGCAGCUUUGAUUAAAGGGAACAAAGUUGAAAAUGGAAACUCUGUCCUCUUUUCCACUGUUUAGAAAAACAUUUACGAUUUUUUUUCCAAAUGUAAGCCUUGACUAGGGUGCAGCUCUGGGAGUGGACCUGCUCAAAGGCUGUCAUCUGGGGACAGUGACACCUAAUCCAAAGAAAGGAGCCCUCCCCUGUCAGGUCACUCUCGGAGGCCAACAUUUAUGUUAUGGUGUGGCUCUCUUUAAGAAAGAUACUGGAGUUCCCAUCAUGUCACAGUGGAAACGAAUCCGACUAGGAACCAUGAGGUUGUGGGUUCGAUCCCUGGCCUCGCUCAGUGGGUUAAGGAUCUGGGGUUGCCGUGAGCUGUGGUGUAGGUUGCAGACUCGGCUCGGAUCGUGCGUUGCUGUGGCUGGCAGCUGUAGCUCCGAUGUGACCCCUACCCUGAGAACUUCCAUAUGCUGCAAGUGCAGCCCUAAAAAGCAAAAAAAAAAAAAAAAAAA